CGUGUAGGCGGUGCGGUAAGUUGGGCGUGAAAUCCCCGAGCUUAACUCGGGUGGGCCGUUCAAGACUGCCGUGCUAGGGUGCGGGAGAGGGAAGUGGAAUUUCCGGUGUAGCGGUGAAAUGCGUAGAUAUCGGGAGGAACACCUGCGGCGAAGGCGGCUUCCUGGACCGUAACCGACGCUGAGGCGCGAAAGCUAGGGGAGCAAACAGGAUUAGAUACCCUGGUAGUCCUAGCCCUAAACGAUGAGCACUGGGUGUGGCCCCUCACGAGGCCGUGCCGAAGCUAACGCAUUAAGUGCUCCGCCUGGGGAGUACGGUCGCAAGGCUGAA
rnacentral:rRNA from 1 species